CGAACUGACAACACCGGUUCUCACCUGAUCACCGAAGUUAAGAAUCAUCGUAUGUGGUCAGUACUUCGGAUGGUGACCUCCUGGGAACACCACAUGC